rnacentral:rRNA from 1 species
GGAGUGCUUGCACUCCGGAAGAUCUAGUGGCGAACGGGUGAGUAACACGUGAGAAACCUGCCCCAGACUCUGGGAUAACCUCGGGAAACCGAAGCUAAUACCGGAUAUUCUCCUUUGGUCGCAUGGCCAGUUGAGGAAAGUCUUUCGGUCUGGGAGGGUCUCGCGGCCUAUCAGCUAGUUGGUGGGGUAACGGCCCACCAAGGCUACGACGGGUAGCUGGUUUGAGAGAACGAUCAGCCACACUGGAACUGAGACACGGUCCAGACUCCUACGGGAGGCAGCAGUGGGGAAUCUUGCGCAAUGGGCGAAAGCCUGACGCAGCAACGCCGCGUGCGGGAUGAAGGCCUUCGGGUUGUAAACCGCUUUCAGCAGGGACGAAAAUGACGGUACCUGCAGAAGAAGCCCCGGCUAACUACGUGCCAGCAGCCGCGGUAAUACGUAGGGGGCAAGCGUUGUCCGGAUUUAUUGGGCGUAAAGAGCUCGUAGGCGGUUCCGUAAGUCGAGUGUGAAAAAUCUGGGCUCAACCCAGUGGAGCACUCGAUACUGCGGUGACUAGAGUACGGUAGAGGAGUGUGGAAUUCCUGGUGUAGCGGUGAAAUGCGCAGAUAUCAGGAGGAACACCAACGGCGAAGGCAGCACUCUGGGCCGGUACUGACGCUGAGGAGCGAAAGCGUGGGGAGCAAACAGGAUUAGAUACCCUGGUAGUCCACGCCGUAAACGUUGGGCACUAGGUGUGGGAAGGAAUCAACCCUUUCCGUGCCGUAGCUAACGCAUUAAGUGCCCCGCCUGGGGAGUACGGCCGCAAGGCUAAAACUCAAGGAAUUGACGGGGGCCCGCACAAGCGGCGGAGCAUGUUGCUUAAUUCGAGGC